GGUUACCUCGGAGCAAGGUAGGGA
rnacentral:rRNA from 1 species